GAUGAACGCUAGCUACAGGCUUAACACAUGCAAGUCGAGGGGAAACGGCAUUGAGUGCUUGCACUCUUUGGACGUCGACCGGCGCACGGGUGAGUAACGCGUAUCCAACCUUCCCAUUACUGUGGGAUAACCUGCCGAAAGGCAGACUAAUACCGCAUAGUCUUCGAUGACGGCAUCAGAUUUGAAGUAAAGAUUUAUCGGUAAUGGAUGGGGAUGCGUCUGAUUAGCUUGUUGGCGGGGUAACGGCCCACCAAGGCUACGAUCAGUAGGGGUUCUGAGAGGAAGGUCCCCCACAUUGGAACUGAGACACGGUCCAAACUCCUACGGGAGGCAGCAGUGAGGAAUAUUGGUCAAUGGACGGAAGUCUGAACCAGCCAAGUAGCGUGCAGGAUGACGGCCCUAUGGGUUGUAAACUGCUUUUGGAUGGGGAUAAAGUUAGGGACGUGUCCCUAUUUGCAGGUACCAUACGAAUAAGGACCGGCUAAUUCCGUG
rnacentral:rRNA from 1 species